rnacentral:rRNA from 1 species
GGGUGAGUAACACGUGGGCAACCUGCCCAAAAGAGGGGGAUAACACUUGGAAACAGGUGCUAAUACCGCAUAACCAUAGUUACCGCAUGGUAACUAUGUAAAAGGUGGCUAUGCUACCGCUUUUGGAUGGGCCCGCGACGCAUUAGCUAGUUGGUGGGGUAAAGGCUUACCAAGGCAAUGAUGCGUAGCCGAACUGAGAGGUUGAUCGGCCACAUUGGGACUGAGACACGGCCCAAACUCCUACGGGAGGCAGCAGUAGGGAAUCUUCCACAAUGGGCGAAAGCCUGAUGGAGCAACGCCGCGUGGGUGAAGAAGGUCUUCGGAUCGUAAAACCCUGUUGUUAGAGAAGAAAGUGCGUGAGAGUAACUGUUCACGUUUCGACGGUAUCUAACCAGAAAGCCACGGCUAACUACGUGCCAGCAGCCGCGGUAAUACGUAGGUGGCAAGCGUUAUCCGGAUUUAUUGGGCGUAAAGAGAACGCAGGCGGUCUUUUAAGUCUGAUGUGAAAGCCUUCGGCUUAACCGGAGUAGUGCAUUGGAAACUGGGAGACUUGAGUGCAGAAGAGGAGAGUGGAACUCCAUGUGUAGCGGUGAAAUGCGUAGAUAUAUGGAAGAACACCAGUGGCGAAAGCGGCUCUCUGGUCUGUAACUGACGCUGAGGUUCGAAAGCGUGGGUAGCAAACAGGAUUAGAUACCCUGGUAGUCCACGCCGUAAACGAUG